CUUGGUCAUUUAGAGGAAGUAAAAGUCGUAACAAGGUCUCCGUAGGUGAACCUGCGGAGGGAUCAUUACAAGAACGCCCGGGCUUCGGCCUGGUUAUUCAUAACCCUUUGUUGUCCGACUCUGUUGCCUCCGGGGCGACCCUGCCUUCGGGCGGGGGCUCCGGGUGGACACUUCAAACUCUUGCGUAACUUUGCAGUCUGAGUAAACUUAAUUAAUAAAUUAAAACUUUUAACAACGGAUCUCUUGGUUCUGGCAUCGAUGAAGAACGCAGCGAAAUGCGAUAAGUAAUGUGAAUUGCAGAAUUCAGUGAAUCAUCGAAUCUUUGAACGCACAUUGCGCCCCCUGGUAUUCCGGGGGGCAUGCCUGUUCGAGCGUCAUUUCACCACUCAAGCCUCGCUUGGUAUUGGGCAACGCGGUCCGCCGCGUGCCUCAAAUCGACCGGCUGGGUCUUCUGUCCCCUAAGCGUUGUGGAAACUAUUCGCUAAAGGGUGUUCGGGAGGCUACGCCGUAAAACAACCCAAUUUCUAGGGUUGACCUCGGAUCAGGUAGGGAUACCCGCUGAACUUAAGCAUAUCAAUAAGCGGAGGAAAAGAAACCAACAGGGAUUGCUCUAGUAACGGCGAGUGAAGCAGCAAUAGCUCAAAUUUGAAAUCUGGCGUCUUCGACGUCCGAGUUGUAAUUUGUAGAGGAUGCUUCUGAGUAACCACCGACCUAAGUUCCUUGGAACAGGACGUCAUAGAGGGUGAGAAUCCCGUAUGCGGUCGGAAAGGUGCUCUAUACGUAGCUCCUUCGACGAGUCGAGUUGUUUGGGAAU
rnacentral:sRNA from 1 species